UUUGCAAAAUGAUUUUAAACCUAUUAAAGUUUCCUUUGAGAAGCAGAAGGCGGUCGAGGAUUCAGUAACUUUGGUUCUUGUUUUGGUAACUUCAUUGCAAAAGCUGCCUUCUUCUUUGUUGGUGUGAUGAACAGACUGAGGUGCUCACGUGUGGUGCAUGCUGGGUACUGGAGUGCAUUCUGGUUGAUUGUCAACUCCAAAUACACCCACAUCACCCCGCUUCUCCUCCAGCUUCACUGGCUGCCAGUCAACUUCAGGGUUCAUUUCAAGAUCCUGGUUCUGGUCUAUAGGGCCUUACAUGGACAAGCACCAUCUUACAUUGGUGAUCUUCUUAGUCCCUACACCCCCAGCAGGUCCUUGAGGUCCAGUGAUCAAAGCCUACUGGUUGUGCAGCACUAGGCUAAAGACCAAAGGUGACGGAUCAUUUGCUGCUGUGGCCCCCAGACUCUGGAACUCUCUCCCCCUGAGCCUGAGAUCAGUGGACUCAGUGGACUCCUUUAAAAAGCAGCUGAAGACUCACUUGUUCAAGCUGGCUUUUGUAUGACCUUCUUCACCACUCUCUCUUUAUUCUGCUCUCCCCACCUAUUCCACCUUCCUCAGGAUCCACUGAUUUCCCUCUUUCCUGUUCACUCUCUCUCUUUCUUAACAUUUUUUUAAUUACAAUUUUCUAUUUUUUGCUCAUUUUAAUAUAUUUUAAAACAUAAUGUUUUUUUUUAAAUAUUUUUACAUUUUUUGUUUUUGUGAAGCGCCUCGUGACUUUUAUCUUGAGUGGCGCUAUAGAAAUGAUAUUUUCUUCUUCUUCUUCAACUCCCUUUUGUGGAAAUGCAACUCUAUUGGUGAACAUUCAUGUAAAAGAUUUGCUGUAGUUGUCACACUCCAAGAAAUGAAAUGUUGAAUUUUCCAAAGUUAUGUCAAUGAUCUCAGUUCUGUCCACUAAACCUAGUUGUUUAAAUGUAGAGCCUAAUAUACGUUUACUUUAACGUAACGUAUACAAAUGUGUAUUACUCUUUAUGUUUAAGCAUGUUGACCUCUCACUCCUACACACUCGUGAGAUCAUACGUGUUGCACCAACUUUAUGCACUCCCAGCGAUCCUAGCUUGUUUCUGCUUGAUGCUAAACAUCUUAGCAACAGUUGAUGCAUCAUUUAGCCUCAUGUCUUCAUUUUUGUUACCAUCACAUUCUUAAAUAUAGCAAUGGUUUCAAAAAACGUUCAGCAGGAAAAAGUAAACGCUUGGGUUGUUAAGUUAUUCAGUUAACUAACUAAAACACUCUUUGCAGGGAUUUUCAGUCAGACCUUCCUUCAAGUGUGAACUGCAGGAACAGAGGAAGGUUUUACUGCGUUUCACUCACAUAGAAGGAAGAUGCAGGAAUCUCAUUUUUCUGUCUGAAUCUUCUAGUUUGUAUGUUUAAUGUCUGGAAGACCAGCUCCUUAUUUCCCUGGAGCUGAGACUAAGUGCAUGAAGUGGAGGAGUGGGAGGACGUGAGCAGAAGAGGCUAUUUUUACAAGACACAUGAUACAGAUAUGGAGAUUGUUGGUCUUUCUUCUGCUAGACCAAGCACGGGUACGGAGAAGAUGGAGUUAAACACCUUUUAAGUUGACAGAACGUGGAGACAAAUGAUCAGAAGUCCAUUCACUGUUUCACCGCUCAUGAGGGGGAGAGUCUCUGCAGCAAGUCCCGCGACCUGCUCUUGCCAGAUGCUUCGGACAGACUCUCUCCGUUCUGCUGAAAACGGCUGAUUUUUAUUGAAGAUUACAGGAAUGUUACAUACGUAGUUUGCCAUACACACACGUAAUUCUGCCAUCUGCACCUGCAGACGCACGUCAGCUAAUAGCCUUGUUAAUGAAAGACCAAUUCAUCCCAAGGACAUGCAACCUUGAGAUGAUCAGGACACAUCCUGCAACAUCCUUUGCUAACAAAGACAGUUGUUCUUGUAUUGAGGAACUGAAGGAAGGAACGCUUUCACUCCCUUAUGCAGCUGUUCAGCUUGAGCAGAAAAGGCACAGAGAGGUCUUUGAUAUUAUAACAAGAUUCCAUGAAAAGGCAUAUAAUAAUGUAUUUAUGAUAAUAUAUAAGGGGCAAAAGUGAGAGAUACAUAUUUAAUCAUAUAAAAGAGCUUAUAAUAAUAUAUGAAAGAGCUUAUAUGAGAGAUAUAUAUUUUCAAUCCCCCUUUUGAACUCUUUUAAGAGUUCAAUAAAGAUAUAAGAAAUCAAAACAAUAACACCAAAUUCCAUCAAAAAGAAUCCAAUAAGCAAAGUUUUUUUUUUUUUUAAAAUACCAAUACAAACAACCAAUCAGAUUACAUUUACUCAUCUUUCUAGCAGUAAACUAAUACAAAAAACAUGAUCAUACUUUCAACUGAACAUGUUACAACAUGUAUGGAUCGCAUGCAACUCCAUAUGAGGGCGAAAAACCCUAAUUAUCAUAUGUUUAUAGGGAAAAUUCCCCCAUGUCCCCCCAUUUGUCAUAUCUCAAUUUUGGGGCGAACACCUGUUGGCAUAGAGUGUGCAUGCCUAGGACAUCAAUGAUCAACAAAAAAUAAAACAAAACAAACAAAAAAAUCAUAAAAAUGAACUGGUGAAGGGAUGGUUACAUAAAUCACUGAACAUUCUCACACUCUAACAACAUCUUCUUCAUCAUGAGAGUCAUCACUAUCAUCAGAGAGUUCCCCUCCCAAAUAGAUGUUAGGAUUGGCUAGUAACAAGGGCAUCUGGAUAAUUGGGUCAGCAGGUGGAGGGUGUAAAAUAUAACCCUUGUAAAAUAAAUGAGGGUGUUAAAUAGAACCCUUGUAGAAUGUUCAUAGGGUGGUUACUUCUUCCCCCUGUUGAAGACCCUUCACUGGCUCCAGGCAGCUGCAGGGGGUGAUGAUGUCAUGAUUCUCGUCCUGCAGGAUGUGGUGGCAGCUUGGCAUGCUACUGCAGUCAGCUACUUCUCUUCCUGGUUUUUGGAUCCUUUCUCUGGUUAGGCAGAUGUCAGCUGCUUCUCUUCCAGGUUAGGCUCCUCCCGUCCAGCCGGACAGCGUGUGAUGUCCUCUCCGUGAUCCUGUAUGGCCCGGUCCACCUCGGUUCCGUCCACUUCCUUUUGGUGACUUUUAGCAGGACCCAGACGCCUGGCACCGAAGGCGAAGUAUCUUCGUGUGUGGUUUUGGUCCAAUGAAGGCUUUCUCGACUUGUGCAGUCCUUGAUCUCGGCAGAUAGUUGGUAGGAAGGCUCACACUCCGGCCGGACCAGAAGUUCCCUGAACCGAUCGCCUAGGGAUUAAAGGUUAUGCACAAAAAUGUCCUAGCUCUUACUGACCCUAGCCUCUGAUACCUUCAACAUCAGACACAUACAGUUACGAACAGCAAGCGCAAUUAAAGGUACAGUGACAUCACGACAUGGACACACAGACACACACACAUGCACAUACACAGAGAGAGAGGGAGAGAGUAAGAAUGUGUGUGGGAGAAAGAAAUGUGUGGGAUCCAUUUUGCCACCAGCAUCUCCACCUGUGUCACAGAGAAAAAAUUGCAAAGAAAUUAAAACAUAAAGCAAACAACAAUAAUUCAAUGAGUAUAAAUGAUCAAACUAAAAUAUACAACCAUGCAUGGGUUUUAUAACAGUUCCGGCAACACUGGAGAGGAAUCCUUGUAUAAUGAAUUCUUAAGAUGUCCUUCAUCAAUUAGAGGUUAUAGCCAAAUUGUUUCAGGAUCCUGAAUUUGAAUUUGAAUUGGUUAAUUUACUCAGAAUAGUCCAAUGUCUUUGUUGAUGUUUCUCAAGGCUCGGCCAUGCCCAUAUAGAUAAAAUAAGCAAACAAACAAGACAAACACAGUCAAACACACGGUCCAUACACGUCUCUGUGCCCUCACACACCAAGCAAAUGUCAGACUGAAGCGAAAGUGUGAAAUACUUAACCUAAUGCUAAAUCAGUGGAAAGAAAAAAUAAGACCUAAAGCGUGUAAUCAAAUUAAUCCAACAAAACUUCCCAUAACUGCCGUUCUAAACUCAUGUUGCGGUGUGAUCUCUCCAAUUAAAAAUUAGGACAACCACUUUUACUAUCAAUUCAACCAAAUAGUUUCAGGUUGUCCCUUACCUAAACUACCUGUCUUUCUUACCUUCUUUCUUUCUUUCUUUCUUUCUUUUUUAGGAACACUACUCGCACAAGAAAUCCUAAGAAUUAAUUCACUACUUAAGGUUAAUUCAUAAAUAACGAAACUGCAGUUACAGGUUUGUUUGUGCAUAGUAUUGGUAAUCAGCAGUUUUUUUUCCUUAUCUCCUCAUCUAGAAGUGUUUCUGUGCUACUCCUCCAUCUAUAACACAAGUUAGUAUCAUCCUUAAAGCAUCUGAAAUUAAGCUGCAUUGCUAAAUCAAUAACGUGAUUUGUGCUAAGAAAUACUCCCCUAUCCUCUUCCUUUUUCCAGUGGCACUGAAUGACAGAUUUUAGAUCAAUUUAACGUUUUAUGACUAUUACGUUUCAUUUAAUUAAUUUUGCUUUUUCUCUCUUAUUUUUGUCUAUUUAUUUAUUUAUGUUAUUUACUUAUUUAUCAUGCCAUCCUGUGAUGAUAAUCUUAAAGACUUUUUAGCCAAUUGUCGUCAAAAAGGCCAAUUAAAAAUAUUAUGUUAAAGAUUUCACAAGAUAAAAAAUGUGAACAUAAUUUUUAUCGAAUGAGGGGUACCUUUUAUUCAAUAUCUUGUAACAUUAUUUUCUACCUCACUAUUGUCUCGGAUGAGAUGUUCCAUGAAUCAUUUAGUCAGCUGAAUGCCAAAUUAUUCAUUUAAUGUUUAUUUUUAUGCAAUGAAUGGAAUGGGAUGGAACGUUACUAUAAACUGUCCGGAAAUUUGCGCAUGUUUGCUCGAAGGAGAAAACUGUUGAAGCCUAAAGCGUUCUCCUAGACUUAUAAAUAGACACCGUUUCCUUAACUAAUGAAGAUAAGUGAUGACGCCGAUGAAUGACUUUUUGAAAAGAAAAUAAGGCUUUACUGCAUGUCCGCUGCAGCUGAGAAUCCUAAGACAAUAAAGAUUAUAUUGACGUCCAAUGAUGAGUUGGGCUGAAAUCCAGGUUACUAAUCCUAUUAUUUAUUUAUUUAUUGAUAUUAUUAUUAUCUUUUUUUUAGGCUAACUUUCUCAGUUAACUAUGUUCUACAGUAGUUUAGUAAAUUUUCCACAGUUCUGACAUUUCAUCAAUUCAACUGGUUGUUGCCAAAAAGCCUUGUUCAUUACCUGACUGCAGCAAGCACUCUUUUACUGGGUGUAACCAUAGGAAACAGUCUCUUUUGAGCCUUUCUUUGUAAGUCCAGGAUGACCACCGUCAUUGAUUAAAGUUCACAUGUUAGCACACAUGCUCCCCCUUUUGUACUUUGUUUCAUCAGCAGCAGGGCAAAUAAGUUUCUGCCUCUUUGUCCAUCUUGUAGUGCUCCCCGUCUUUAUGUUAUGAGUCACAGCUUUUGGUGAGGGCUUCCAGGUUCUCUUUGGUGAGGGCUUCCAGGUUCUCUUUGUAUAGAAGUCAGAGCCAAACAUUCUUUGCAGCUGGUUGUGACAGGCCCACCCAGUAAAGUUCAUGCCUGCCACAAUGCACAGCAAACGUUUUCCUUAAAUAUGUUGAUUGAGUUAAAAUGACAGAACUUUCUCUUUUACAAAUCAAAAUCAACGAUGGUUUCUAAUAUUUAGUCGACUUUAUUGACUCAAAGGUAAAUCUAGACUACUUCCUAUGCACAAUUUUUCUGAAUCGUCAAGUCGGUUCUACACAGGUUUUAAACUUUAGGCACAAUCUAUCCCAAAUGCAAGAUCCCUCCUUUCAUUUUUUGUUUAUCUAUUUUAUUUUGGGAAAAUAACUACCAGUUUUUAACUCAAAACAGCCUAGUACAGUUUCUAGCCAGGUUACAGGAAAUAAUACUUAGUUUAUCUGUUUUUUCAUUAUUCAGCAUCUCAAAAUCCAGCCAUUAACGUUAAUGGUUCUUAAAGUUGAGGCAAGACAAUUAUUGGAUUUUGUUUUAUAGCAAGAUUUAACAAAUAUUUUAUUUCCUUACUGAUUAUUUGUUAAUUUUAUGGUUUUCAUAAAGAUGAUCCUGAGAGGUUCAGAGCUGCUUUUCGCAGUACCCUGUGCUAUUUUUAGACUGCGGGACUCCUGUGUGUAAAAGUGGGUGGAGUCAGGUCCCCAGGCUGAAACUCCAGUCAUUCUCACUAAAUCUGUCCGAGAGGAAGGAUCUCCUGAAUACCCUAACCAGAAGCCUUAAGUCUCUCGAACUAAAUAACCGUCUAGUAAAAACAUGGACCGCACCCUGUUUCUCAAGCAGCUGCUCCCUCUAUUAAAAACUGCGUCAUUCAGAAGAUCCAGCGAAAGCAGCUCAUGCAAGAAGACACACAUUCACUCAUUCACAAGGCACAGAGACAUUCUUUGUUUGUCACAGUCUCUUUUUAUUAUUAUUAUUAUUUUUUUAAGGUAAGUCAGUUCGUCACUUAUUUAUUCUCUCUCUAUAUAUAUAUAAUAUUUUAAGCACAGAAUUUAUUUAACACUGCACUGGUUAUUUUCAGAAUUUAAUGCUUACUAUGCUUUUAAGCAGGCCUUAUGUAACAUUAGAGCAAAUCCAAUUGCAAUUUUUUUGAGAGCGCUCUGAGGAAUAGUUUAUAUAUUUAUUUUCUGCAGAUCUGUUUUGAUUUUACUGUUUAGCAGCUAUAUGACUAUAUUUCUAAAAUAAAGCUGUCAUUUACAUCCUUA